CAUGGAGUCUUGCAUGGUGAGCAGGGACCGGCAGCACCCAGCACUGCACAGGAUGCGGAUGCAGGCUGAUGUCGGGAGCGUUUGAAAUGAAAACAAGCUGUGCUGCCUUUUGGUGACCCCCAUUUCCAGAGGAAGUCGAAAACAGAGAAAGUGAAAAGGAAAUAUGCAGAGGCAGAAGAGAUGGGGGCAACAGGAGGGCAGAGGAUGCCCUGCCUGGCACUGGUGGUGCUGCUGCUGUGGGCGCCCACUGCCUUUUGCCUGACACAGGCAGUGUGUCUCAAUGCGAGCAGUGCUACGUCAGAUGUAAGAGCAGGAAGCAGCAACGCAUCAACCACCCUCCCGACAGCAGUGAUUCAUGUGUUCACCUGACAAAAGUACUCCCCCAGCUGGGUUUCCAGCAGCGCUUUAAUGGGACUAUCCCACCAUGGAGGUUCUUGGAAACCAAGUGACUUUAGGAAAAGCUCUCCUGUGACUACAGUCAAACCCAUGGUAAGCUGCUGCCCCAUGGGACGUGCUGCAUCACCACAAGCUGCCCCGGUCCCUUCCCUGCUGCUCCUUUGGUGUGUGUUCCCACCACACAACUCUCACCUCUGACAUCUACCCUGGUCCUUAGAUGAGAGUGAAGUUGUGAUGUGCAUACGCUCUUCCCCAUGUGAGACCCUGCCCUUUGCUGUGGAGGAAAGCCCAUAUCUGGAAACAGCAAACACAGCUUGACCUUGGGGGAGGAUGUGCAGAUGAAUAGACAAAAUAGCUUUGGAUGGACCACAUCCUUUCUGUAUUUACAAAUUAAAUAGAAUAAAUAAUGUCUGUACACAA